ensembl:snRNA U6 U6 spliceosomal RNA
GGGUGCUCACUUGGGCAACCCAUACACUAAAAUUGGAACUAUGCAAAGAAGAUUAUCAUGGCUCCUGUGCAAGGGUGACCUACAAAUACAUGACAUGUACCAUAUUUUU